rnacentral:rRNA from 1 species
GACAGAGGGUGCAAACGUUGUUCGGAAUUACUGGGCGUAAAGCGUGUGUAGGCGGUCCUGUAAGUCGGGUGUGAAAGCCCAGGGCUCAACCCUGGAAGUGCACUCGAAACUGCAAGGCUAGAGUACCGGAGAGGUUGGUGGAAUUCUCGGUGUAGAGGUGAAAUUCGUAGAUAUCGAGAGGAACACCGGCGGCGAAGGCGGCCAACUGGACGAGUACUGACGCUGAGACACGAAAGCGUGGGGAGCAAACAGG